UACAGAGGUCUCAAGCGUUGUACGGAUUCAUUGGGCGUAAAGGGUGCGUAGGUGGCGAUGUAAGUCUGGUGUGAAAUCUCGGAGCUUAACUUCGAAAUUGCAUUGGAUACUGCGUUGCUUGAGGAUUGUAGAGGAGAGUGGAAUUCACGGUGUAGCAGUGAAAUGCGUAGAUAUCGUGAGGAAGACCAGUUGCGAAGGCGACUCUCUGGGCAAUUCCUGACACUGAGGCACGAAGGCCAGGGGAGCAAACGGGAUUAGAUACCCCGGUAGUCCUGGCAGUAAACGGUGCACGUUUGGUGUGGGCAGGUUCAGACCCUGUCCGUGCCGGAGCUAACGCGUUAAACGUGCCGCCUGGGAAGUACGGUCGCAAGAUUAAA
rnacentral:rRNA from 1 species